CAAUAUUUUACGAAUCAUUUCACCUCAAAUGUUUUUGGGACAUUGAAAAGGGAUAGAAAAAGGUUAUGUCGUCAAUCGUUCUUGGUUUAGGUUAUCUCGAACUUUAAACCAACUUUGUCAAAGUAAAGAUAACUCCAGAAUGUGGAAGUUACACUAGUUAGUUGUCUUCUGCUAAUUCGUACAAAUGUGUAACUAAGACUCUGUUUUAAAUUUCACAAAUACAGAAAACAAAAACUAUAGAAUGUUUAAAUUCCUUUGAAAAUAUGACAUAUACUCAAUUAUUGGACUGUGCUAGUUGCAUUAUGUCUUGUAGCAAGAAAGUGAUAUUAGAAUGAGAGGAGCCUCCUUCUUCCACAGCCUUGUGAGCUGAUUCUCCAAGCUCUUUGGCUCUUCUUCUUCUCUCUUUUGCAUCAUCACUCUCACCCAUUAGUUCUUCCACUGCCUUCUUCACUCCUUCUUUAUCCACCAACACUCCUAUCUUCUCUUCUUCUCCCCAUUUCAUGACCUCUUUAACCUCGGCACUUACACCGACUUUUAGUAUUUGUACGACCAGUUUCUCGUUGCAGAAUUGGUCUGCAAAUAGUGGCCAUGUAAGCAUUGGUAGACCAGCAGUUAUCCCCUCAAGAGUCGAGUUCCAUCCGCAGUGCGUUAAGAACCCUCCAACAGAAGGAUGUGAAAGGAUAAGCAUUUGAGGGGACCAUCCUUUGAUGAGAAGUCCUCUAUCUUGGAUUCUAUCUUCAAAGCCGCUUUCCGAGAACCACUCAACUAACUCUUUGUAUUUCUCCCAACCUCUUAUGACCCAGAUGAAAGGUCUUUGGGAUUCCUCUAGGCCUAGUCCCAGCUCAAGGAGCUGAGACAGAGGAAGAUUACAAAUACUUCCAAGGCAAACGUAGAGCACAGAUCCCGGUUCCUUAGAAUCGAGCCAUUCAAGGCACUCAUCUUGAUCAAUAUCUGAUUUGUUUCCCCUCUCUGCUUUGUCUACUCCUACCUUGUUGCACAAGGAAACAGGUCCAAUGGUCCAUGCUUUACCAGACCUUGCCUCCUUGAAGUCUUUGGCAUACGCAGGUUCGAGCUCUUGAAAUGAGUUGACUAUAACACCAUAAGAUGUCUUAUCCGCUUCUACCAUAUCCUCCAAGAUCUCUUUCCAGCCUGCAGGAACAUAUGUUUCCACCGGAACUUGAGGUCUUGUGAAUUCAACUCUAUCAGGAAAAUAAGGAACAAUGAAGUACUCCUUAUCAGACUUUAAAUUGUCCAAGAUCUCACGGUUCUUGCGCAGAACGUUAACACACAGAAGACAAAAGCAACCCAUGCCAUGGAAGAGGAUCUUUGGUAUUUUGAACUUCUUGGCGAUUUCGCUUGUAUACGACAAACACAUAUCAGAGAUUAGACAGCUUGGUCGCGGGCUCAUCUCUUCAAUAAGACCAGCUUCUUGAUAUGGAAACUUGACUUGCACUAGGUUGAUGGGCAAACCAGACUCAAUGGCACGGUUUAGGACAUUCUUGAACCUUGCUGCAUUGUGAGGCGUCGUGACAAUUGUUAUAAGCACACCUCGCUGAGCCAAGAGCCUUGCAAUAUCAACCAUGGGAAUCAUGUGGCCUUGAGCCAUGAAAGGGAAGAGAACAAAGUGAAGAGGAAAAGGUUCGUUGUUUUUUUCGAAAGCCAUGACGAUGCAACUUUAGUAAGAACCUCUCAAGUUUUGUUUCGUUUUCGGUUAAUAUCUGUGUAAGCUUAUAUAUAGAACAAGAUGCGUGGAGAGCAAGAAAGAAAGUGAACAGAAGACGUAAACAGAUUUUUACUUGCCAAACACCUCUUUUUAAGUCCACAGAUUGUGCUUGCGACAGACUUUAGUAAAUGCUUAAGUUUGUCCGUAUGUGACCAUCCUACAUCUUCUAGUGACCUUCCUUCUCAGAAACAUUUUAGAGACA
rnacentral:lncRNA from 1 species